GGAAAGUUACUCAAGUGGUUUAAGAGGAUAGUUUGCUAAACUAUUAGACUUGGUGCAAAAGCCAGUGCAAGAGUUCGAAUCUCUUACUUUCCGCCA
rnacentral:tRNA from 1 species